AAGCGCUCGUGACCAGACUUGUGCCGGGCGGAUCAUCCAGUGUUCUCACUGGUGCACUCCGCCCGGUUCAGGCCAGCAUCGGUUCUAGUGGGGGCAUAAAGGCCGCAGGACCGUGGCUCUUCGGAGUGUUAUAGCCUGUGGUGCAAUACCCCCGCCGGGACCGAGGACCGCGCAUUGCAAGGAUGCUGGCGUAAUGGUCAUCGGCGA
rnacentral:rRNA from 1 species